rnacentral:rRNA from 1 species
ACGAAUAAUCAAAAGACCGAGAGAGAUCUCGACUCUUUUACACCGCGAACAGUAAGAAGGAUUGGGGGUCGCCCCGUAGAGGGCGUCAAACGGCGAGAGCUUGGACUGACUGUAGUCGUCGACUCCSAUUCUCSCSGCCCCCAWYKUUAUUUUWYWUUUUUUCUCWCAAACAAAAAUASACAACYGYGUSCRASWGMWAUCACCUGAGCCGUCUCCGGACGACUUGGAAAAAAAUUAAAAGUUCAUAACUUUUAACGGUGGAUCUCUUGGCUCGUGCAUCGAUGAAGAACGCAGCCAGGUGCGAUAAUUAGUGUGAAUUGCAGAAUUCAGUGAAUCAUCGAAUCUUUGAACGCAAAUGGCGCUCUUGGGUUUUCCCAGGAGCACGUCUGUCUGAGUGUCGGUUUCCAAAAAUACCAACGCACGCGUAACUGCCUGCGGUGUUGAGGCGUCGCGGCCCGCCGCUUCCUUGAUUGCGAUCGGCGGGCCUCGUCCCUUGAAGUGCAGCACGACCGAACGGCGCGACUCCGUGUCGCCGCGUUCGGGGAGGCCAAAAGCAAAAACUUUGCCCUUCCUCGAGGCGGCUCGGGUCACACCGCUUGCGUCGAGUGAGUCAGUCGAGCACACUGUGCUCCUCGAACGGACCACGACAACAUUCUUGACCUCAGAUCAGGCGAGACUACCCGCUGAAUUUAAGCAUAUUAAUAAGCGGAGGAAAAGAAACUACAAGUUGC